rnacentral:rRNA from 1 species
GCCUGCAUGAAGUCGGAAUUGCUAGUAAUCGCGGAUCAGCAUGCCGCGGUGAAUACGUUCUCGGGCCUUGUACACACCGCCCGUCACACCAUGGGAGUCGGUAACACCCGAAGUCUGUAGCCUGACGCAAGAGGGCGCAGCCGAAGGUGGGAUUGAUGACUGGGGUGAAGUCGUAACAAGGUAAC